AGUGGCGCACGGGUGAGUAACACGUGGCUGAUCUACCGCGAAGCCGGGGAUAACUUUGGGAAACCAGGGCUAAUACCCGAUAAGCUCACGCCGUCUAGAAGGGUGUGAGAAAAGGUUAACCACUUCGCGAUGAGGCUGCGGUCCAUCAGCUAGAUGGUGAGGUAACGGCUCACCAUGGCGACGACGGAUAGGGGGCCUGAGAGGGUGACCCCCCACACUGGGACUGAGACACGGCCCAGACUUCUACGGAAGGCAGCAGUGAGGGAUAUUGCACAAUGGGCGCAAGCCUGAUGCAGCGACGCCGCGUGGGUGAUGGAGGUCUUCGGAUCGUAGAACCCUUUUCUGUGUGACGAGACAAGGACGGUAGCACAGGAAUAAGCCUCGGCUAACUACGUGCCAGCAGCCGCGGUAAAACGUAGGAGGCGAGCGUUAUCCGGAGUUACUGGGCGUAAAGCGCGAGUAGGUGGUUGAGCAGGUCGGGUGUGAAAGCUCCCAGGCUAAACCGGGAGAGGUCACUCGAAACCGCUGAACUAGAGGUCGGGAGAGGCACGUGGAAUUCCGGGUGUAGUGGUGAAAUGCGUAGAGAUCCGGAGGAACACCAGAGGCGAAGGCGGCGUGCUGGCCUGAAACUGACACUGAGACGCGAAAGCAUGGGGAGCAAACGGGAUUAGAGACCCCGGUAGUCCAUGCCGUAAACGAUGCACACUAGAUGUUG
rnacentral:rRNA from 1 species